GCGGCGGACGGGUGAGUAAUGCCUGGGAAAUUGCCCUGAUGUGGGGGAUAACUAUUGGAAACGAUAGCUAAUACCGCAUAACGUCUACGGACCAAAGAGGGGGACCUUCGGGCCUCUCGCUUCAGGAUAUGCCCAGGUGGGAUUAGCUAGUUGGUGAGGUAAUGGCUCACCAAGGCGACGAUCCCUAGCUGGUCUGAGAGGAUGAUCAGCCACACUGGAACUGAGACACGGUCCAGACUCCUACGGGAGGCAGCAGUGGGGAAUAUUGCACAAUGGGCGCAAGCCUGAUGCAGCCAUGCCGCGUGUAUGAAGAAGGCCUUCGGGUUGUAAAGUACUUUCAGUCGUGAGGAAAGCAAUAUAGUUAAUAGCUGUAUCGUUUGACGUUAGCGACAGAAGAAGCACCGGGCUAACUCCGUGCCAGCCAG
rnacentral:rRNA from 1 species